CCUACGGGAGGCAGCAGUGGGGAAUAUUGGGCAAUGGGCGCAAGCCUGACCCAGCAACGCCGCGUGAAGGAAGAAGGCUUUCGGGUUGGAAACUUCUUUUCUCAGGGACGAAGCAAGUGACGGUACUGGAGGAAUAAGCCACGGCUAACUACGGGCCAGCAGCCGCGGUAAUACGUAGGUGGCAAGCGUUAUCCGGAUUUACUGGGUGUAAAGGGCGUGGAGUCGGGACUGCAAGUGAGAUGUGAAAACCAUGGGCUCAACCUAUGGCCUGCAUUUGAAACUGUAGUUCUUGAGUACUGGAGAGGCAGACGGAAUUCCUAGUGUAGCGGUGAAAUGCGUAGAUAUUAGGAGGAACACCAGUGGCGAAGGCGGUCUGCUGGACAGCAACUGACGCUGAGGCGCGAAAGCGUGGGGAGCAAACAGGAUUAGAUACCCCGUUAGUC
rnacentral:rRNA from 1 species